rnacentral:lncRNA from 7 species
GUGAGCAUGUAAGGGUAUAAUGGAGGCGGCUGGCUGCUGACAGCGCCCUGCUUCAACUGAAGUCUGGUGUGUGGUGCUGGGCCGAAAAGGGCUGCUACUUUUCCUUACCGAACUUGUCAGAAUGACAUAAACAACCUGGAAGGAAUUGAGAUAAGAGAGCCAUAAAUAAUUAAAAUGCUGGAGGGGAGUGCUGAAGAAAAAGCUGUGCGAUGGGUUGCCAGAUGGUCUAGCAUAAGGAAGAAGGAGAAUAAGGCUGAUGCUCUCCGAUGGAUUUAUUUGUAUACAAGUCCCAGUGGAUCCAAGUAUUAAAUAGCUUCAGGGUUUUUUUAAGUGGUUAUAUGUGUACAGAAGACUGAGUACACAUUGCUAAAACUGGACUUUUUUUUUAGUAAAGUGGAUUUUAGUCUUAAAGUGGAUUUUGUUUUUUAAACACAAGCGUGUAAAUGGCUGAACUGGAUUUUCUGGGAUGUGUAAUGUACUGGGGGGGGGGAUAACAAAUGCUGGCUGAGUGGAAUAUAAUAUUAAAAAGAACUCUUGAAGCUGUUGUUGAGAAUAGGAUAUACCGAUUGCCCUGAACUAUUAGUUUUUAAAUACAGCAGUGAUUGAACAGGAGAUAUUAAGUGCUAUUGGCUGUUAAACCUUGCUCUGUGUCAGCAAGCUGUGAAAGGCAGUGAACCGGAACUGUAGCAGUCAAAACCUGCUGGAAAGCUGUUCUCUGCCAAUUCUCCAUUAUAGGCUGUCUGCUAAACAUGAAGAAGAAUGGGACUGGUUAGAAAAAGGUUAAGGAGCUCACCUCACACUAUCAGCAGAGGUUAUUACACAUUGAUUUUUUUCACUUUUUUUUGUCUCCAUUGAAGGCAAUUGCUCACCUGUUGCAUGGACAGAGUGAGGCUGCUUCAUCUCCACCUACAGCUGCAUUUAAAUGCUGUCACUGUUAGGUGCUUGCUAAUGCAAAGGUGUCUUGACAGAAGGCGUAGCUGAAAGCAGUAUGUUUUCAAGUUCCUAACUCAUACAAGUAUAAAGGGCUGGUCAAUGUUCUUGGCUUUUUUCUUGUUAAUAAAUUAUCUCAGGAUCUGAACUGUAGACAUGUCAGUUUUGCUCUAUUGACGAGGUAACAACAGUACUGGAGGUACUAGAAACACCAGCAGUCUCUGGAAGGAUCCCAGCAUUCAUUAACAUUUGGUAAUUGCUUGUCUUUUAUACACCAGGAUUAUUAACUCUAUUAUCAUUAUUAUUAUAGCAGAGAGAGUUUGUUUCUGCAGUGGGGGGGAAAAAAAAGCAGGCUUAGUGAGUGAAGCUUUCCAAGCACAGGUAACUGAGAGUGCUUUUGUUUGUUUUCCAAGCUUAAGGAAUAUUUCCAUUCAAGGGGAACUUUUUCUUCAGUGCAUCCUUUCUUUGUAGUCCAGCUUGUGCUUCUUUUCAGUGUAAGAUGUAAUUACAGUUGAAUUGCAAACUGAUGCUUAAUAAAGAAAGCUUCUGUAAUU